rnacentral:rRNA from 1 species
GACGAACGCUGGCGGCGUGCUUAACACAUGCAAGUCGAACGCUGAACCCGCUUCGGUGGGGGAUGAGUGGCGAACGGGUGCGUAACACGUGGGCAACCUGCCCCCGGCUCUGGGAUAACUCCAAGAAAUUGGGGCUAAUACCGGAUGUGACCGCUGGCCGCAUGGUCUGGUGGUGGAAAGGGUUUCCGGCUGGGGAUGGGCCCGCGGCCUAUCAGCUUGUUGGUGGGGUAGUGGCCUACCAAGGCGACGACGGGUAGCCGGCCUGAGAGGGUGACCGGCCACACUGGGAAUGAGACACGGCCCAGACUCCUACGGGAGGAAGAAGGGGGGAAUAGUGCGCAAGGGGCGGAAGCCUGACGCAGCGACGCCGCGUGGGGGAUGACGGCCUUCGGGUUGUAAACCUCUUUCAGCAGGGACGAAGCGCAAGUGACGGUACCUGCAGAAGAAGAACCGGCAAACUACGUG